AAUACGGAGGGUGCGAGCGUUAAUCGGAAUUACUGGGCGUAAAGCGCAUGCAGGUGGUUUGUUAAGUCAGAUGUGAAAGCCCGGGGCUCAACCUCGGAAUUGCAUUUGAAACUGACAGACUAGAGUACUGUAGAGGGGGGUAGAAUUUCAGGUGUAGCGGUGAAAUGCGUAGAGAUCUGAAGGAAUACCGGUGGCGAAGGCGGCCCCCUGGACAGAUACUGACACUCAGAUGCGAAAGCGUGGGGAGCAAACAGGAUUAGAUACCCUGGUAGUCCACGCCGUAAACGAUGUCUACUUGGAGGUUGUGGCCUUGAGCCGUGGCUUUCGGAGCUAACGCGUUAAGUAGACCGCCUGGGGAGUACGGUCGCAAGAUUAAAACUCAAAUGAAUUGACGGGGGCCCGCACAAGCGGUGGAGCAUGUGGUUUAAUUCGAUGCAACGCGAAGAACCUUACCUACUCUUGACAUCCAUAGAACUUUCCAGAGAUGGAUUGGUGCCUUCGGGAACUAUGAGACAGGUGCUGCAUGGCUGUCGUCAGCUCGUGUUGUGAAAUGUUGGGUUAAGUCCCGCAACGAGCGCAACCCUUAUCCUUGUUUGCCAGCACUUCGGGUGGGAACUCCAGGGAGACUGCCGGUGAUAAACCGGAGGAAGGUGGGGACGACGUCAAGUCAUCAUGGCCCUUACGAGUAGGGCUACACACGUGCUACAAUGGCGCAUACAGAGGGCGGCCAACUUGCAAAAGUGAGCGAAUCCCAAAAAGUGCGUCGUAGUCCGGAUUGGAGUCUGCAACUCGACUCCAUGAAGUCGGAACCGCUAGUAAUCGUGGAUCAGAAUGCCACGGUGAAUACGUUCCCGGGCCUUGUACACACCGCCCGUCACACCAUGGGAGUGGGCUGCAAAAGAAGUGGGUAGUUUAACCUUCGGGGGGACGCUCACCACUUUGUGGUUCAUGACUGG
rnacentral:rRNA from 1 species